rnacentral:rRNA from 1 species
GGCGGACGGGUGAGUAACGCGUAAGGAACUUGCCUCUUGGACUGGGACAACUGUUGGAAACGACAGCUAAUACCGGAUAUUAUGAGAUUCUCGCAUGAGAAACUUAUGAAAGCUAUAUGCGCCAAGAGAGAGCCUUGCGUUCCAUUAGCUAGUUGGUGGGGUAACGGCCCACCAAGGCGACGAUGGAUAGCCGGCCUGAGAGGGUGAACGGCCACAAGGGGACUGAGACACGGCCCUUACUCCUACGGGAGGCAGCAGUGGGGAAUAUUGGACAAUGGGCCACAAGCCUGAUCCAGCAAUUCUGUGUGCACGAUGAAGGUCUUCGGAUUGUAAAGUGCUUUCAGUUGGGAAGAAGAAAGUGACGGUACCAACAGAAGAAGCGACGGCUAAAUACGUGCCAGCAGCCGCGGUAAUACGUAUGUCGCAAGCGUUAUCCGGAUUUAUUGGGCGUAAAGCGCGUCUAGGCGGAAAAAUAAGUCUGAUGUUAAAAUGCGGGGCUCAACUCCGUAUUGCGUUGGAAACUGUUUUUCUAGAGUACUGGAGAGGUGGGCGGAACUACAAGUGUAGAGGUGAAAUUCGUAGAUAUUUGUAGGAAUGCCGAUGGAGAAGUCAGCUCACUGGACAGAUACUGACGCUGAAGCGCGAAAGCGUGGGGAGCAAACAGG